UUUGAAAUUGCAGGGUGUUCUCGAAACCUCGUGCCGGUCAUAGAACCACAUCGGAACCGGCACCGGCACCAGCGCCAAUCGUGGCGCAAGCCGAUCGGAGCGCGGUAGAGGUUUCAUCUUCCCGCUGGUCUGCAAAGAUCUGCUCCAUUUCGUCGAUAAUCAUCGUCAUUAGGAUUCUUACUCUUUUCGUUUUGAUUUUUUUCUUACUGUUCGGUUAUUUGAGUAUCUGGUCCGGUGGCCACUUGCACAAUCACAUCAACCGUACUCGGCGUUUUGUUCAGUGUGACAUCGGUUGCUAUCAAGCGCAGGGUGAUAUCUGUUAUGCAGUUUUGGCGAUUGGUGUUUGGCAACAGAGAUGUCAGUGCUUUAGAGGAUAUCACAGUUGUGAAAUUCUGCAAUUAGUGAACUCCUCGAUUCAAUCCAUUCGGAUUUCAUUGUGGCAAGUUGCGAUUUAUGAGCGAGAUGCUGGGUAAGGUUCGAGACUGUAUCCGUUCGUGAUUUGCGUGUCUGCAGCGUUGUUGUCACUGGCGCUACGGACCCUUGGUUUUGGUUGUCCCUGUAGUUAGGCUGCCGAUACUAUCUGAUAGGGAUUGUGUGAGCAGAUUGAGAAUGACAAUCAGUGGCCGUGGCAUUGGAAGAUUUCUGUUGAUGCGGAUUACAUGGCUUCAUCAAUCGCUCUAAUGUACUCGGAUCCUCCUCUCUUCCUCACUGGUCAGGUUACUACUCAAUUAACUUCAUUUCCAUAUUUGGAAUGUGUUUACACUUUGGCCACUGCUCCCUUCUUACAAGUGAGAGGAUGUAAUUGUAACAACAUGCUACACACAUGGGAUCAUUGGCCACAGUGUAUUGAUCAUUGAGUUAUUGAUGAUGUCAUAUCUUUCUUUAUUUUCUGAUGUUUGGAAUAAUAUGUUUCAUAUUGUUAAUAUAUAUAUAUAUAUAUAUAUAUAUAUAUAUAUUUGGACAUAAUAUAGGGCAUCACAUAUGAAAGAAUAACAUACAUUUUUACAUUGUAAAAGGAAAAAAAUGUAAAAAAAAAUUGAAAAAAAAAUAAAACAACAUAAGUUAUUUAAAUGAUCUCAAUGCUAAAGCACUUUGUUGCAAAUCAUAUUGUGCAUUAAACUAACAUCCCUUUCUGUACUGAAUUUCAAUAAAACUUUUAUAUUUUUGGAGGUCGUUGCAUGAAAAAAUAAAAUAUUUAAGUAGUUGUGGAAAAAGAUGUUUAUGCUAAAUUUAGCAAAACAUACUUCAUUAUUUUUCCUUGGGAUUAGUUUACUAUUAUUACAUAAGCCAUAUGCAAGGGGAACUAUUUUCUGCUUAAAACCUAAAAACGAUUUCACUAUUUAGUAAUUGUGGUAGUUCUAGAAAUAAAUGUAAUAUGACAAUGUUUUUUUCUCAUCAAUACCUCAACUUCAAUGUCUAUAUCAGUGAAACAUUUGAUCAUUAGUUGGGUUUUAUUACAAAGACUACUUGCUAAAUCAAGAUUAUAGAAAGGCAUCAUAAUUGUGCCAAUAUUUAGCAUGAGCUUAUGAGGUGACCACCCACUUAUAUGCAACAUUAUAUAUUCCGAGGGGACAUGGAUAUUUUUAUGGCUGAUUAACUUAAUUUACAAUGCAACCAAUACACAAAAACAUGUUUUUUUAUUAUAAAAGAUAACUUUGCUACA